GUGGGCGUAGCUCAGUUGGUUAGAGCGCUGGACUGUGACUCCGGAGGCCGGGGGUUCGAAUCCCCUCGUCCACCCCA
rnacentral:tRNA from 1 species